AUUGAACGCUGGCGGCAGGCCUAACACAUGCAAGUCGAGCGGAUGAGAAGAGCUUGCUCUUCGAUUCAGCGGCGGACGGGUGAGUAAUGCCUAGGAAUCUGCCUGGUAGUGGGGGACAACGUUUCGAAAGGAACGCUAAUACCGCAUACGUCCUACGGGAGAAAGCAGGGGACCUUCGGGCCUUGCGCUAUCAGAUGAGCCUAGGUCGGAUUAGCUAGUUGGUGAGGUAAUGGCUCACCAAGGCGACGAUCCGUAACUGGUCUGAGAGGAUGAUCAGUCACACUGGAACUGAGACACGGUCCAGACUCCUACGGGGGGCAGCAGUGGGGAAUAUUGGACAAUGGGCGAAAGCCUGAUCCAGCCAUGCCGCGUGUGUGAAGAAGGUCUUCGGAUUGUAAAGCACUUUAAGUUGGGAGGAAGGGUUGUAGAUUAAUACUCUGCAAUUUUGACGUUACCGACAGAAUAAGCACCGGCUAACUCUGUGCCAGCCGCCGCGGUAAGAC
rnacentral:rRNA from 1 species